UCUCCCGUUUCCUUGAUCGUGCCGCAGCAGUCAAAGCGGUGGGAGCAGUUUCCGGCAGACAUUUAUCACUCCACCAGGAAAUCUUGCCUCCAUCCCCGAGAUUCCUUCCCCCUCCCGUUUCCUCUCCUCUCACCUUAUUCAUUGCUUUUCUCCAACCAAUCCAAGGGCGGAUGGCCUCCAUGGACGCCGCUCAAGCAUCUCAAAAUCUUUCACGGGCACUGCUGGCCGCAUGGUAUCGCUCCCGCUCCAUCCUUUUCCUAAGGAACCAUUGGACAUGGCAAGGACGGAGAUGGAUGCGUGUACAAGCGGAUGCGACGUCCUCACUAGGCUCAGCCGCCCAAGCCCCGAGUGGAGGACGAUGGCGAGCUCGACCCCACACUUCUCUUCUCCGUCCUGGAGGAAUAAGGGCUUCGAUGGCGCGGUGAUGUGCCACCUCUGUGUUUCACAAUUGCCAUCAUGUUUGCUACUUCAGAACUUGAUGUUCUCACUUCGUGUGCUGGAAGGAAGACUGAACAUUCAUUAAGUUAGCUCAAUGUCUUUUUUGCUGAGUUGUCAUAUUAACAUAGUGAUGGCGUUUGACAUUGUAAGAGUACAUUGAACUAUUCUUCAUGUCUCAUGAAACAUAUGCAUAGUUUAUUGCAUGGUUGGACAGACACUCAUUUUCUUGCACUUCAGCGACUACAACGUCCACAGCUUCAACAGAUGGAUGCAUGAAGCAGCCAGGCAGCACAACUGUAAUAACAUAAGCUUUCUAAUUGGUGAUGUUUCAUCCCCUGAGCGUGCCUUCCAGGUCAUUUACUCUUACUGCAUUAUCAUCAUUUGUUUAAGUAUUCUACAACUAAUGCACUAAUUAGUAUUCAUGUGAUACUGAGGAAAAUGAUGUUCCUCUCCUCAUGUAUAUCUGAUUUAGGGUGGCUUUAUUUUUUAUGCGGGUGCAGUCCGUUCAGUCCUCAUGAAGGUUAUAUAAAGAGGACACAAACUACACAGUGAGUUGGCAUCAGCUUCUUUAUCAGUAUGAUUCUUUGCUCAAGAGAGGCUAUGUAGCUUAAAGAGAUGACAACCUGACAACUCAUUGGCGUUGCUUAUUUUGAACAUGAGUAGUAAGGAACACAACAGCUCCUCACCUUGACGGUGGCCUCCGGCCCUGCCAGUGAUCUGCCACCGCUGGGUUAGCGCUAGACGACUAACAGUGCUGAUGUCUGCUCCAGAACAGGGAGCAUGGCAUCUCCUGGAAGCCGCCCUGCUGCCACCCAAAUAACGACCAGAAUAUGAACGAUGCAGUCAGCAAGGUGGUGCGCGGAGGACCGGGCUAGCAGACGAAGCCCACAGUAGGAGCUGGUACCUUUCCCAUUCUAUUGCAAUAUGCAAGGAAUAGUUUGUGUUUUUCAUAACCACCGAUUCACAUUGGUUCUAAGUAUGAAUUCGCUCUAUUUUUGGUUUUUUUAGCUAACACGAUGCAGCCAUCAGUAAGUUCUAGCUUAUAAUGACGCUAAUUAUUAAAAGAGCUAUUAGUUGUUUUCAUGAGAAGUACACUUAGGAUAAGUUGAUAUUGCAGGCAGUGGCGUAGCUAUGUAGC